UCGCAGAAAAAGGGACAGCGUAGAGCACAACUAUGAACGACGCCGGUCGGCGACGCACCGCUGGACAGGCAGUCGAGAAGGUGCGCCGGUUGCGUUUUCUGCCAUUGCAUUUUUGGCGUUACCCCAACGCGCACGAAUUUACAUGACUUAACAAUUUUCUGUGCCUGACGGUAGAGCUGCCUUGCAGGAAGCUGGAGAUGAAAACUUCAAAAUUAGAUUUAAAAUGUUUUAUUCGUGUUUCCCGGUUCCGGUGUGGGGAGAACGUUAACACUACAUUGCAAGGAAACGAAAAACGUCCGUUUUACCGCACCUCAAAAUCGUGUCAGUACUCCUUUAAAGUAAACCUGUGUUGAAUAUUGUCAGCUUUUUUUCUUUAGCUAGUUGUUGAUAUGAACAGUCUGUAAAUUACAUUGCAGAGCGUACAAGACGGCGAGCCCUGAUUCUGGUAGCCAAGGCAUAUUCCUCUAUUUCCCUUGAUGAUGCCUCCUGCUUUCUGGGCAUUCCCAAGCUUGAAUUAGCUGAUGUUGUGAGUUCAUUGGGAUGGUCCAUUGAUGCUAC